GCCGCGCCUCGGAAUGGGGUCGGAGGGGGACAGUGGAGACCCGAUUAAUCCAAGUCUUUAACCCAGAGAAGCUGGGGUUAGUCGAGGACCACCCCACUCUCCUCAGGCCUUACGCCCCCGCUUGCGGGCACCCUGCGCAUCCCCGCUUCUGGCCCAGCCCUGCCCCGGGGACGCGCUCUCCGGCCCGCGGGGAAGGAGCGGGUGAGGGGUCGGGAGCCCGGGUCCGCUUCAGUCGGGGGAGAGAAGAGGAGGAGGCUAUCUGCAGCUCAGACCCUGACUUAGUCCCUGCCUCGGAACCGGGGACCCGGGGCAGCUAGAGACGUCCAGAUGGGUGCAGAUAAAAGGAUUGAAUUGAGUGAAGAUUAAGACGGAGAAGAUGGCGCCUCUGCAGUGCAGCAAAGAAAAGCUGUGUGGAGGCUGCAGCCUGGUGAAAUCCACCCACCACUAGGUGUAUAACAAGUCCUCCCCAUUCAUCCAACUCUCGAACAUUCAGCUAACGCCUGUGCAAAAUGACUAUUUUCCUUUUCAUCUGAAGAUGUUGAGAAAUUAUUUGCUUGGCAGUUGAGGCAGAAAACGUAUUUCGCAUCAUUUGAGUUCCCAUUUGGUAUCUUAGCAUUUGUAACCUCUCUUUCCCCAUUUUUCCCCCUCCUUUUCCCCUAACUCAUGGGAUUUUCCAAAAGAGCAAUUUCUGGACAAAUGUUUUCCCGUAGUGUAACUGAGAUUAUACGGACUAUCACACCAUUUCAGCUGUUUAGUCCCUAAUUUACAGGGUCAUUGAACUUUUUCCCCCUCUGCCUUUUUCCUACAAGUGGCUCAGGAAUCACCUGGGGGCUUGUUAAGGCAGAUUGUUUUAAGAGUCGAAGCAUUUGGCUUUCCAUUUAAAAAUGCAUUUAAUUAAGAGAACUCUGGUUUUUCUGACAGUUAAAUUUACUCUUAUUUCAGUUCUCCUGAUUGUUUUAUUACACAUUAAAAACACAAGUAAUUAAAAGCAUAUCAUAUCUUUUAUAGUGGAGCCUUUUGCCAAAAUGUAAAUAUUUAACUUUUAUGAGCAGGAUUUUUUUCUUUGUAAAAGGAAGCAGCGUGCAGGCAAAUAUGAUUCAGAUUUCUUUUUUACCCUGUUUGAUUGCAUUUUUUGCUCUUUCUGCCAAACUUAGAUAUUUUCACUGGUUACUGUCACCUCUUUCCAAGGGUGGAGGUGAGAUUCACAUUAGUUCAUUUUGUGGAGCGUUAAUGGAAAGGUAGGCAGUUCACUCUGAUGAGGUUUGGGGGGCGGUUAUCAGGCUCAGUCUCUGUCCAUGGAAAAGAUGUAAUUAUGAGUUGACUAUCUUUUGCAGGGCUUAGAAAAUAGGUCUGCUACAAAUGGCUUGAAAAAAGACAAAUGAGGGCAAUAAUAAGGGGCUUCAGCUUCUGGGGGACACAUCAUUACCUGGGUUGAUGAUUUUCCCGGGUGUAGCGACAGAGCAUGAGUUUAAAAGGCCCCGACAUUUAUUUAUUUAAACUUAAAGUUUUGUUUUUUGCUUUUUGUGUUUUUUUUUUUUUUUCUUUCUUUCUUUUUUUUUUUAACCCUUGAUGUUGUGUAACCUCAUCACAAUUAUCUGCUUUGGUACUGGUGCUCAUUCAGUACUGGUGCUAAUUCAGAGACAAACCUCCUCACACUGGCUAGAGCUGCCCUAAUGGUAAUUGCCUCGGCACAGAAUAGCAAAGCUCAGAUUUGAUGGUGAGUGAAGGAGAGUCACUGUGUCUUGCUGAUCCCUGCGAAGCUGUGAUAACCAGCAGGGCACCAAAGCUGCUCUCUUGUCACCCUAACCAGCAGGUGCUUGAUAGGCACUUAGGAGCCUGUGCUAGUACUACCAAGAAGUACUCCAGAUAGAGUAUUCUUUCUGGUUGGGGUGGUAAAGAGGAACAUACAACUAAAUAGAUCCCAAGUAGGAAUGACUGAUUGGAAAAAAAGCGGGGGGCGGGGGGGGGAGUUGUCCAUUGAAUAUUGGCUUGAAGAAAAGCAGAGAGGUCAGAAACAGGCUCACAGACACAGAGAACAGAUUUGUGGUUUCCAAGGGGAGGGGGCAGGGAGAGAGAGAUUGAGAGUUUGGGACUAGCAGAUACAGACUAUUAUAUAAUGGCUAAACAACAAGAUCCCAUUGUAUAGCACAGGGAAUGGUAUUCAGUAUCCUAAUGCUAUUCAAUAAACCAUAAUGGAAAAGAAAAAGAAAAACGGAGAGGUUAUCUUUGUGGAAAAUGCUUUCUCCCUGUUGCUGGAGGAUCUCUAUUUUGAAUUACUGUUUAUGGCAUACUAGAGACAUUUAUACAGAUAUUUAUAUGAAGUGGCGAUUGUCAGUCAUUCUAGAAAUAAGCAGAGCUAUUGUGUGCCUUUCCUGUGGCCAUCAAACUACCCUUGAAGAUGUGGAAAAAUCCAUCAGAAAUGUACAUUCUGUUUCUGCACAUUUGCGAGGUGGGCACAUGUAUUACCUUAAGAGCUUGCAGAGCGUUUGCCAUUCGUAUCCUUCUUCAGUCUCUGCCUGGGUAUGUCAGUUACAAAUGCAAAGAUAAACCUUGUACGUGUACUUGAAAAAUAAAGCUUGAGGAUGUCAGCUUUGGGUUGACUUGCCUACGUCUUAUUUCUCCACACCCUUAUUCAUAUCCUUUGUACCCAGGAAGUUUGCAGAGUCAAUAGGACAGGCACAUGAUUAUAAAAGAAAACAGAAAGUGUUAAGUACCAGGAGGAAAGUACAGAUUAAGUGAAAUACUGAGUAAAAGUCUUAACCAUAUAAACAUCUGUAUGUAAGGAAUAAAGGAACAGUGGGGAUGAGGUGAUCCUGGAGAAUUUCUUGAUGGUUCCUUUCCAACCGGGUUUGUAUCCUGGGGAAGGGAGAUUAUAUCUUUGGGGUUUCAGUAUUUGUUUACAUACCUCUCUCCACCUUUCCCCUCCCAGGUAGACAGACAGACAGACAGACAGACACACACACACACACACACACACACACACACACACACGCACAUGCUUGCGCACUCCUCUUUGAAGGUAUGGGUGGAGACAGUGUGGGAUUUGAUUUUCCUGGUUUCUCCAUCUAUUCAUUCAGGACAAUUCGUAUUGAUUCUUUUUUUGAGCUAUGCCUAGUCCUGUAGCGCUGCAGAUAGUCUGGUGAACCAAACUGUCUUGCUACACGAAGCUUCCAGUCUUGUAGGAAAGACUCAGUAAACAGACCGGUGGAGGCGUGUGUUCAUGAAUUGCGACAGAUGCUAAGAUGGAAAAGAAGGGUGCAGGGGUACACUCCAGAAGGGAGCAGGGAAUUCCAAGUAAGGAUUUGAGGGGCCAGAGGUGAGGGGGUGAAAGCAGGGUCUGAGAGCUCUGAUACGGCAUCUUCAAUAGGGACCUUGAGUGAAGCAGUGAGUAUGUGAUGAAAAAAAGUGAUUUCACUGAGCAACAAUGAGGAGGGUGGGGAAAAUAAAAUAUUUCAGCUGUUUUUUUUUUUUUUUCUGUAGUUUUCUAUCUUUUUGUGUUUUACUUGACUAUGAAAUGGUUUCCUUUCAUAGUGGACCCUCACAUACAAACGUGAGUGGAAAUUGAUGGAGUGGGAAUUGAUACUUACACCAUGGUCUGCAAAUCCUUGGAAAUACUGUCACCCUGGGUCUCACAGCCAGUAUCCAGAUACACCCUCCUGAGUGGCUGGAGAACCAGAGGGUGGCCAGUGGAGGAGGCCAAAGUGAAGGGAUGAGUAGCCAGUUUAGGCCAAAAAAUGGCUAUUUCUUAGCUUUUAUUGUAGUUGUUAGUAAAAGGAAGGCAGAUGGUACCUGAACCCUCAAAAUGAAUUUGGAAAUGAAAGCCAUAGUGAAGGGCAAAAUGUUAUGUAACAAUUUCUUCAGUUUAAUGUGGAUAUUUUAAGAAAUAACCGUUUCAGUAGGGGGUUUUCUUUGAAAAAAAUAUUGGGUGAAUUUUCCUCUUCAGAUUAAUGGUUACUAGAUAUGCAUUACUGGUAUGUUUAGAAGUAGAACCCCAAACUGGAUUUGAAUGACUGCUCCAGGAAUAAAAUAAUUCAUUGAGGGGGAAAAAUAAAGCCUGUACAUGUUCAUAAACUAAUAGUUCUGUGAAAAAGGGAUGCUGAGUAGGUUAGUUAGUUGACUCUCAGAGUGUGAUACAGAGACUCAGUUUCACAUAUGAAAUCUUAGCAGAGAUGGGGACUAAGGCCAUUUUAGUUAAAUUUAUUUUGUGUGGCUACAUUUGGAAGAAACGUGAAAUACAGAUUUAACUUCAACAUUGCUAGGGUUAUAGUAUUUUAUGAAAGAAGCUAAUGAUUGAAAUAAGGAAAAUUUUGAAAGGCUUUUAAAAGCCAGCUCUAUGGAAAGUAGUGGACCAUUUACAGCCUUGAUUUCGAUACCAACGUGAUGUCAGGCCAGCAUGCAAAUCAUGGAGUUUCUCACUUGUUCAGGACUGGUAGCCUCUCACAUUGAUCAAGAGCCUGGGCUGGGCCAGGGUUGUCUGUGGGUAAAUCCUGAUUGUGUGCCUCACUUUUUUCCUUUGUAAAAUGAGUAUAAUCCUGUUUAUGGUUGUUGAAGAUUGAGUUACUAUAUAUGUAACAUGCUUGGAACAGUAUAUGAGUUAAUAUAUAUGUAACCUGAUGGCAUUUUAUAAGAACUACAUGUUAGUUACAAUUACUGUUUAUAAUGAUGAUGUAAAAUGGAUACAUUUAUUCUCAUACACUGUUGAAUGUUAAAAAAAAAAAUCUAUGUGAUAUUUCACUUAAUGACUAAUGCACUUACUGACCACUUAAGACUAUUGCAAGAUUCUGGCAAUUUGUUCAUGAUAAGAAUGAAAUAAUUUGAUUUACAUUUUUAAAAAUACAUCACAGAUAAUUUUUUUAAAUGUAUAUUGUAAAAUUUUGUUUAUUAAAUAUUCACAUGUAUUUUUAUUGGAGGGGUUUUUUGGAAAACCAUUAAGCCAAUUCCUGCUCAUAGGAAAACUCGAACAGUACAGAUGUAAAAGGCAUAAGCAGUUAUUACACGAAUGAGAAAGACGUAGUUUAAAUAUGUGCUAACUGGCAUCUUGCUACACACAUAUAAAAUUGAGCAAGUUUAUAUUCUGGCUCCAUUAUUAACUCAGCUGUUUGUUGACCAUCACCUGUGUGUGUGCACAACUAGAAAAAAGAAUAAACAAGUUUGGCUAAUCUAGGCAGAAAUGGAAGAUUUCAAAUGCCAGCAAAAGAAUUUUGGUCCUACCUAGAGAGGAACCUUGAAAUGAUCCUCACCAGAGGAUGAGGAAACUAAAGAGCAGACUGCUUAAGGAGGCAGCACCCCUGUAAGAAGUCAGUUUUCCAAAUAAAAUGAAGUCUGUUACCAAGCAGAUGAUGGUAAACUUUAUAGUGGUCUGCUCUGAAAUUUAAGAGUGAUCUACUGCUUAAUUAAAAGCAUACUUUUAAAAAUAAGUGGAGUUCCUACCGUGGCUCAGUGGUAAACAAACCCGACUAGUAUGCAUGAGGACUGGGGUUUUAUCCCUGCCCCUGCUCAGUGGGUUAAGGAUCCUGUGUCGCUGUGGCUGUGGUAUAGGCCGGAACCUGUAGCUCUGAUUCAGCCCUUAGCCUGGGAACUUCCAUAUGCCGAGGGUGUGACCCUAAAAAGACAAAAAA